AACGAACGCUGGCGGCAGGCCUAACACAUGCAAGUCGAACGGAACCUUCGGGUUUAGUGGCGCACGGGUGCGGAACACGUGGGAAUGUACCCUCUGGUAAGGAAUAAUAUCUGGAAACGGAUACUAAUACCUUAUAAUGACUUCGGUCCAAAGAUUUAUCGCCAGAGGAUCAGCCCGCGCCUGAUUAGAUAGUUGGUGAGGUAAUGGCUCACCAAGUCUACGAUCAGUAGCUGGUCUGAGAGGAUGAUCAGCCACACUGGAACUGAGACACGGUCCAGACUCCUACGGGAGGCAGCAGUGAGGAAUAUUGCACAAUGGGGGAAACCCGUACGAUGCAGCCAUGCCGCGUGAGUGAAG
rnacentral:rRNA from 1 species